UUUAUGUUACCGGAUCGAUGGGCUCUGUUACUGAAACAUUGGAGUACUGAUGAAAAAUUUAAAAAGAGGAGUGAGAUUGGGAAGAUGGCUCGCGCAUCAGAAAAAAGAGGCUUUUUGCACACUGAUGGAGUUAUUAGCCAGGUUACUAGGAAGGAAAGAAUGGAAAAAGAGUUGGGUAGGCCGGUAGCUGUAGCAGAGAUGUUCAAGGUUACUCACGUCAAGAAGAGUACGAACCCCACAGAAGAAGAAAUAUGGAUUUAGCCACGUGCUCAAGAGACAUAUGAUAGGUAUAUACGAAUAUCUCAGGAAUAUCAUAGUACUCUACCUCUUGAGAGUCAGGACAGACCAUUUACACAAGAAGAAAAUGAGAAUCUUUGGAAACAGAGUGCUGGUGAACCGAUUAGAGGUUCAAUCUACGGCUAUCCAGAAAAGGCGUAUCAGAAGAAGAAGUCUUGGUAUUGUGGUUCAUCAUCCUCAAGCUUUGAUGGCAGGGAUAAAGAGACAAUAUCUGCAAUGGAGAGUAAGAUAGCUUAUCUCAAUGCCGAGCUUGCUGCUGUAGCCGAAAGAGAGAAUAAGAGAGAAGAAAAAGAGAGAGGAGGAGAUUGCGGCAGCAAAGGAGGUAGAGAACAAGAGGUAUGCAACGCUUCAGGCCCAACUAACUUUCUUUUGAAUCAGGAAAUAUUCUUCCUCCAUGUCCGGCCAGUAGUGAUGAGAAUGAUAAGUCUGAUAAGGAAAGUGAGGGUGAUGAGAAUGGUACGUCUAACAAGGAGAGUGAGAGUGAUAAGGAGUAGUUGUAUCUAUUUGACAUUUUAGACUUCUAUAUUUUUGGAAUUGUUUAAUUU